ACAGUGUCUGGUGGGUAGUUUGACUGGGGCGGUCUCCUCCUAAAGAGUAACGGAGGAGCACGAAGGUUGGCUAAUCCUGGUCGGACAUCAGGAGGUUAGUGCAAUGGCAUAAGCCAGCUUGACUGCGAGCGUGACGGCGCGAGCAGGUGCGAAAGCAGGUCAUAGUGAUCCGGUGGUUCUGAAUGGAAGGGCCAUCGCUCAACGGAUAAAAGGUACUCCGGGGAUAACAGGCUGAUACCGCCCAAGAGUUCAUAUCGACGGCGGUGUUUGGCACCUCGAUGUCGGCUCAUCACAUCCUGGGGCUGAAGUAGGUCCCAAGGGUAUGGCUGUUCGCCAUUUAAAGUGGUACGCGAGCUGGGUUUAGAACGUCGUGAGACA
rnacentral:rRNA from 1 species